GAUGAACGCUGGCGGCGUGCCUAAUACAUGCAAGUCGAGCGAACGGGCGAGAAGCUUGCUUCUCUGAUGUUAGCGGCGGACGGGUGAGUAACACGUGGAUAACCUACCUAUAAGACUGGGAUAACUUCGGGAAACCGGAGCUAAUACCGGAUAAUAUUUUGAACCGCAUGGUUCAAAAGUGAAAGACGGUCUUGCUGUCACUUAUAGAUGGAUCCGCGCUGCAUUAGCUAGUUGGUAAGGUAACGGCUUACCAAGGCAACGAUGCAUAGCCGACCUGAGAGGGUGAUCGGCCACACUGGAGCUGAGACACGGUCCAGACUCCUACGGGAGGCAGCAGUAGGGAAUCUUCCGCAAUGGGCGAAAGCCUGACGGAGCAACGCCGCGUGAGUGAUCAAGGUCUUCGGAUCGUAAAACUCUGUUAUUAGGGAAGAACAUAUGUGUAAGUAACUGUGCACAUCUUGACGGUACCUAAUCAGAAAGCCACGGCUAACUACGUG
rnacentral:rRNA from 1 species